GGUGCCUUAUUGCUAUUAUAAACUGGUUACAGUACCGACGUAAUUAGAGAAGUAAAAUGACAUGUUUCAGCAUUCAGGGCCGGAACCAUCCAGUUUAUAAUAUAGGAUAGACGCUUGUGGUUUCUAGCUGCACCAAUCAGAGCAGUGAAGCGUGUCGUCGUGAAGCAACACUUUAGUGGUCAAAACCAUUCAUGCAAUUAUAGCAUUUAUAAAAUGGUCAGUUCCUAUCUCUCACUCUCUCGCUAUAAUAUAUACUAUUUUAAUUCUGAUCAUUUUCUGGAAAAUGAAAAGUGGAGGUGCAAAAACUUUAGUUCCUCCCUGUUUUAAUUUGCUCCUUGACUCAGGUGGCCAGGUGUGUGUUACGGAGGAAAGCUGCUUGGCUCAGGUGGCCAGGUGUGUGCUACGGAGGAAAGCUGCUUGGCUCAGGUGGCCAGGUGUGUGCUACGGAGGAAAGCUGCUUGGCUCAGGUGGCCAGGUGUGUGCUACGGAGGAA